rnacentral:rRNA from 1 species
AACGUAGGUGGCUAGCGUUGCCCGGAAUUACUGGGCGUAAAGCGCGUGUAGGCGGUUGCCCAAGUCGGGUGUGAAAGCCUUGAGCUCAACUCAAGAAAUGCACUCGGUACUGGGUGACUAGAGGACCGGAGAGGAUGGUGGAAUUCCCAGUGUAGUGGUGAAAUACGUAGAGAUUGGGAAGAACACCAGUGGCGAAGGCGGCUAUCUGGACGGUUUCUGACGCUAAGACGCGAAAGCGUGGGGAGCAAACAGG